GGGGAUUUAGCUCAGCGUCAUAAGCACCUGCCUUGCAAGCAGGCAGUCGUGAGUGUAAUCCCUG
rfam:Cavia porcellus supercont2_14 genomic scaffold, whole genome shotgun sequence.